CGGCACAAUCUUAUGACUUCUUGCUCUAUUUUAUAAAUUCUUCCAUUUUUUCACGAUAUUCUGUACUAUUUUAUGAUAUCAUUACAAAUGAGCCAUGCUUAGAAUUCGAUCAAAGCAUCCAGAGCAGGGAAUUAAUCCUGACAUUGAUGAGCAACAAUCUGAAGUUGCAUGCUUAAGCCAUGGCUUGGGCAAUGAAUGACCCUGCCUUGUUUCUUUAGUACAUUGGUUGUUGUUACCCUAGGUCCUGAAGUUCUGUAAUACUUUGUGCAUUAUAUUUGGCUUUAUAGUUAGGACAGUGCUCGUGUCUGGAUAGUUAGUGAUCAAAGGCAAGAUUUUGGUGAUCUUGGUGACAUUCCUGGUCAUUAUGUUGCAUCAAAUCUCACAUUGUUUGGACAAAAUGCUAGAAUCUGGAACCGCUAUAUCUUUGAUUCCGUAAGUUUCUUAUUUUCUAUUUUCUUUUAUUGGUUCUAUGCAUAUGAUUAGUUUAUACUUUCCUUGUCAUAUUUAAUGUAUUACCGUGCUUUUGUUGAAUGGGAUGCAUUGCUCCUGCCGCAUAUGUUUUGAGGUACACGGUUGGAGAUGCUGCUUAUCGUACUUGGACAUAUUGUGUGUUUG
rnacentral:lncRNA from 1 species